GGGUUGUGAGGUUAAGCGACUAAGCGUACACGGUGGAUGCCCUGGCAGUCAGAGGCGAUGAAGGACGUGCUAAUCUGCGAAAAGCGCCGGCGAGGUGAUAUGAACCUUUGACCCGGCGAUGUCCGAAUGGGGAAACCCAGUGUGAUUCGUCACACUAUCGUUAACUGAAUACAUAGGUUAACGAGGCGAACCGGGGGAACUGAAACAUCUAAGUACCCCGAGGAAAAGAAAUCAACCGAGAUUCCCCCAGUAGCGGCGAGCGAACGGGGAGCAGCCCAGAGUCUGAAUCAGCUUGUGUGUUAGUGGAAGCGUCUGGAAAGUCGCACGGUACAGGGUGACAGUCCCGUACACGAAAGCACACAGGCUGUGAACUCGAAGAGUAGGGCGGGACACGUGGUAUCCUGUCUGAAUAUGGGGGGACCAUCCUCCAAGGCUAAAUACUCCUGACUGACCGAUAGUGAACCAGUACCGUGAGGGAAAGGCGAAAAGAACCCCGGCGAGGGGAGUGAAAAAGAACCUGAAACCGUGUACGUACAAGCAGUGGGAGCACCUUCGUGGUGUGACUGCGUACCUUUUGUAUAAUGGGUCAGCGACUUAUAUUCUGUAGCAAGGUUAACCGUAUAGGGGAGCCGAAGGGAAACCGAGUCUUAACUGGGCGUUAAGUUGCAGGGUAUAGACCCGAAACCCGGUGAUCUAGCCAUGGGCAGGUUGAAGGUUGGGUAACACUAACUGGAGGACCGAACCGACUAAUGUUGAAAAAUUAGCGGAUGACUUGUGGCUGGGGGUGAAAGGCCAAUCAAACCGGGAGAUAGCUGGUUCUCCCCGAAAGCUAUUUAGGUAGCGCCUCGUGAACUCAUCUUCGGGGGUAGAGCACUGUUUCGGCUAGGGGGCCAUCCCGGCUUACCAACCCGAUGCAAACUACGAAUACCGAAGAAUGUUAUCACGGGAGACACACGGCGGGUGCUAACGUCCGUCGUGAAGAGGGAAACAACCCAGACCGCCAGCUAAGGUCCCAAAGUCAUGGUUAAGUGGGAAACGAUGUGGGAAGGCACAGACAGCCAGGAUGUUGGCUUAGAAGCAGCCAUCAUUUAAAGAAAGCGUAAUAGCUCACUGGUCGAGUCGGCCUGCGCGGAAGAUGUAACGGGGCUAAACCAUGCACCGAAGCUGCGGCAGCGACGCUUAUGCGUUGUUGGGUAGGGGAGCGUUCUGUAAGCCGUUGAAGGUGUGCUGUGAGGCAUGCUGGAGGUAUCAGAAGUGCGAAUGCUGACAUAAGUAACGAUAAAGCGGGUGAAAAGCCCGCUCGCCGGAAGACCAAGGGUUCCUGUCCAACGUUAAUCGGGGCAGGGUGAGUCGACCCCUAAGGCGAGGCCGAAAGGCGUAGUCGAUGGGAAACAGGUUAAUAUUCCUGUACUUGGUGUUACUGCGAAGGGGGGACGGAGAAGGCUAUGUUAGCCGGGCGACGGUUGUCCCGGUUUAAGCAUGUAGGCGGAGGUUCCAGGUAAAUCCGGUACCUUAUUAACGCUGAGGUGUGAUGACGAGGCACUACGGUGCUGAAGUAACAAAUGCCCUGCUUCCAGGAAAAGCCUCUAAGCAUCAGGUAACACGAAAUCGUACCCCAAACCGACACAGGUGGUCAGGUAGAGAAUACCAAGGCGCUUGAGAGAACUCGGGUGAAGGAACUAGGCAAAAUGGUGCCGUAACUUCGGGAGAAGGCACGCUGAUAUGUAGGUGAAGCCCCUGCGGGUGGAGCUGAAAUCAGUCGAAGAUACCAGCUGGCUGCAACUGUUUAUUAAAAACACAGCACUGUGCAAACACGAAAGUGGACGUAUACGGUGUGACGCCUGCCCGGUGCCGGAAGGUUAAUUGAUGGGGUUAGCGGUAACGCGAAGCUCUUGAUCGAAGCCCCGGUAAACGGCGGCCGUAACUAUAACGGUCCUAAGGUAGCGAAAUUCCUUGUCGGGUAAGUUCCGACCUGCACGAAUGGCGUAAUGAUGGCCAGGCUGUCUCCACCCGAGACUCAGUGAAAUUGAACUCGCUGUGAAGAUGCAGUGUACCCGCGGCAAGACGGAAAGACCCCGUGAACCUUUACUAUAGCUUGACACUGAACACUGGUCCUUGAUGUGUAGGAUAGGUGGGAGGCUUUGAAGCGUGGACGCCAGUCUGCGUGGAGCCGUCCUUGAAAUACCACCCUUUAAUGGCUGGUGUUCUAACGUAGACCCGUGAUCCGGGUUGCGGACAGUGUCUGGUGGGUAGUUUGACUGGGGCGGUCUCCUCCCAAAGAGUAACGGAGGAGCACGAAGGUUAGCUAAUCCUGGUCGGACAUCAGGAGGUUAGUGCAAUGGCAUAAGCUAGCUUGACUGCGAGAGUGACGGCUCGAGCAGGUGCGAAAGCAGGUCAUAGUGAUCCGGUGGUUCUGAAUGGAAGGGCCAUCGCUCAACGGAUAAAAGGUACUCCGGGGAUAACAGGCUGAUACCGCCCAAGAGUUCAUAUCGACGGCGGUGUUUGGCACCUCGAUGUCGGCUCAUCACAUCCUGGGGCUGAAGUAGGUCCCAAGGGUAUGGCUGUUCGCCAUUUAAAGUGGUACGCGAGCUGGGUUUAGAACGUCGUGAGACAGUUCGGUCCCUAUCUGCCGUGGGCGCUGGAGAAUUGAGGGGGGCUGCUCCUAGUACGAGAGGACCGGAGUGGACGCAUCACUGGUGUUCGGGUUGUCAUGCCAAUGGCACUGCCCGGUAGCUAAAUGCGGAAAAGAUAAGUGCUGAAAGCAUCUAAGCACGAAACUUGCCCCGAGAUGAGUUCUCCCUGAGACUUUAAGUCUCCUGAAGGAACGUUAAAGACUAUGACGUUGAUAGGUCGGGUGUGUAAGCGCAGCGAUGCGUUGAGCUAACCGAUACUAAUGAACCGUGAGGCUUAACCUUACAACGCCGAAG
rnacentral:rRNA from 1 species